GCCUUGUUGGCUAAGUGGUAUAGCGUCUCACUAGUAUAUUCUGGUGUCAUGAGAAGAUCGGCGGUUCGAUUCCGCCACGAGGCA
rnacentral:tRNA from 1 species